GCUUACGGCCAUACUACCCUGAGAACGCCCGAUCUCGUCUGAUCUCGGAAGCUAAGCAGGGUCGGGCCUGGUUAGUACUUGGAUGGGAGACCACCUGGGAAUACCAGGUGCUGUAAGCU
rnacentral:rRNA from 1 species